UGUUGCUUGCAAGGGCGUAUGGUGGAUGCCUUGGCAGACAGGACCGAUGAAGGACGUUUGAGGCUGCGAUAUGCCUCGGGGAGCCGCCAACAGGGCUUUGAUCCGAGGAUUUCCGAAUGGGGGAACCCACCGACCGUCAUGGGUCGGUACCGGCUUCGGCCGGGGGGUACGCAGGGAAGUGAAACAUCUCAGUACCUGCAGGAAAGGAUAUUCCGUGAGUAGUGGCGAGCGAAAGCGGAUGAUGGCCAAACCUUGCGCGUGUGAUACCCGUCGGGGGUUGCGCGCGGGGUGUUGCGGGAUCGCGUGCGCCGGCUCCGACGGGCCGGCCGGCAGUUGCAGAAAACCAUGUGUCAGGGGAACCGGGUUGAAUACCGGGCCGCAGAGGGUGAGGGCCCCGUACCUGAACGCGCAUGGUCUGCCGAUCGCGUCUCCCAAGUAGCACGGGUCCCGUGGAACCCCGUGCGAAUCCGCCCAGACCGUUGGGUAAGCCUGAAUAUUCCUGUCUGACCGAUAGCGAACGAGUACCGUGAGGGAAAGGUGAAAAGUACCCCGGGAGGGGAGUGAAACAGUCUCUGAAACCGUGCGCCUACAAUCCGUCGGAGCCCUUUUGUGGGGUGACGGCGUGCCUAUCGAAAAAUGAGUCUGCGAGUCAGUGGCAUGUGGCGAGCAUAACCCGUGUGGGGUAUGCGUAGCGAAGGCGAGUCUUAAAAGGCGUUUGAGUCGCGUGUCCUGGACCCGAAGCGGGAUGAUCUAGCCCUGAGCAGGUUGAAGCGCGGGUAAGACCGCGUGGAGGACCGAACCCACCUGGGUUGAAAACCGGGGGGAUGACUUGGGGCUAGGGGUGAAAGGCCAAUCAAAUUCCGUGAUAGCUGGUUCUCUCCGAAAUGCAUUUGGGUGCAGCGUCGGGUCAUUACGUCCCGGGGGUAGAGCUACUGGAUGCUUGCGGGCCCGUAUCGGGUACCAACAGCAACCAAACUCCGAAUACCGGUGACGCGUAUCCCGGCAGUGAGUCGGCGGGGGAUAAGCUUCGUCGUCGAAAGGGAAACAGCCCAGACCGUCGUCUAAGGUCCCGAAGCGUGUGCUAAGUGGGAAAGGAUGUGGAGUCGCAUAGACAGCCAGGAGGUUGGCUCAGAAGCAGCCACCCUUGAAAGAGUGCGUAACAGCUCACUGGUCUAGUGGUUCCGCGCCGACAAUGUAGCGGGGCUCAAGCACACCACCGAAGACGCGGCAGUAUUUUGUACUGGGUAGGAGAGCGUCCCAUGAGGGGCGAAGCGGCCGUGUGAACGCGCCGUGGACUUCAUGGGAGUGAGAAUGCAGACAUGAGUAGCGAGAGACGGGUGAAGAUCCCGUCCGCUGGAUGACCAAGGGUUCCAGGGCCACGUUCAUCGUCCCUGGGUGAGUCGGGUCCUAAGGCGAGGCCGACAGGCGUAGUCGAAUGGAUGAACGGGUCGAUAUUCCCGUACCGGCUUUCAGCCGCCAAAACCGAGGCUUGGAGUACUAACCUCCGGGUCCGGGCUUACUGCUCCUUCGGGGGCGGGAUGCCCUGGCCUGUUGGGACCGAUCCUUGUAGUAGGUCAGCGCAGGAGUGACGCAGAAGGGUAGCCGGCCGCGGAGGUGGUCUUCCGUGGUCAAGCACGCAGGGCGUGGGACAGGCAAAUCCGUCCCGCAUGGGUCCGAGGUGCGAUGAUGGGGGCCUUAUGGCCCGAUAUCCGGUGAUCCCGGCUGCCGAGAAAAGCUUCGGCGUCAGGCUCAAAGCCGCCCGUACCCCAAACCGACACUGGUGGUCAGGUAGAGAAUACCAAAGCGAUCGAGCGAAUCCUGGUCAAGGAACUCGGCAAAUCACUCCCGUUCCUUCGGUUUAAGGGAGACCCCCGAUGGUGAACACACUUGCUGUGGGAGCUUUUGGGGGUGGCACAGACCAGGGGGUAGCGACUGUUUACCAAAAACACAGGUGCAUGCGAAGGCGCAAGCCGCUGUAUAUGCACUGACGCCUGCCCGGUGCCGGAAGGUUAAGAGGAUCCGUCAGCCUUCGGGUGAAGCGGUGAAUUCAAGCCCCGGUAAACGGCGGUGGUAACUAUAACCAUCCUAAGGUAGCGAAAUUCCUUGUCGGGUAAGUUCCGACCUGCACGAAUGGCGUAACGA
rnacentral:rRNA from 1 species